AUUCACUUCGUUUUUUCGCAAUUUAUUCAUCCGAGAGAAACGAAUCGAACACGCGAUAACGAUAUUAUCUAACAAAUGUGACUUUAUAAUCUGAGCCAAAAGCGAGGACAAAAGGUCACAAUGUGAGUAUUGACGAAAGAUGUACCCGUAAAAAUUGCAUUGUUUCAUAUCGCAAUUGAUACUCAGUAACCAACAAAGUAUGCAACUCAUGAGUGUGCGUCAGCGCCAACGCAUCUGACAAUCCAAAGACCCUCGUCCCGUAAUUGUUGCUUCAGGUGAUGUGAGAACGAUGAGAAUAACUGACGGCGUACGUGAGGCUGAUUGCAAGGAGUGAGACUAAUUGCCAGUGUGUUAUUAGUCCCCGUUCCUGCGAUUGAUCAUUGAACCUGCCUCGGCGGAAUGCGCGAUUUACGGUCUUACCCUCCAACGCGCUUUGACACUCCUCGUCGCUUCGAGCAGAUAACGUCGGUAGUUCAUGAACACUUUGAUGACAGGCUGAACGAUGGAAAUUAUUAUCGAUAUUGGUUCAAGGUAUUGGUGUUCCUGGGCGCAAUUAACGAGUGACUGACUCCGUAAAAAAGUUAAAAGUUCAGAGACGGUUGAGUAUGAACUUUCGGGACAGUGACACUGAAAUGAUUUAGGGGUUGAAAUAUCAUAAAGUAACGGAUUUGCCGGAAUUUUAGAUGAUGUGGAUGUAUCCAGAGCUUUUGUGAUCAACGCAAGUUGUGUCAAUACCAUUCAUUCCUAUUUUUUGUGAAUCAUGAAUAUUCUAGUCCGCGUGGAACCCCGGUGGAACUAUUGUUUUUGUGAACAGCCUGUGAGCGCAUAGGAAGGAAACAAAUUGUAGAAAUUCUUAGGGGUACAUGAAAGAUUCGUUAAAUAAAUCACUUGGAAUUUUCUUAUGCGCUUCGUCUCCACACACCAUCUCAUUCUCAGGAUGAAAAUGGCUGGCACAAUCUGGUGUAAUAUCAAACGGUCUGGAGUAUCCUGGGAAGCAGCACCGAGUACGGCUCAGCAAUAUCCUCUUCAAGACUGAUGGCAUAGGUAAACAGAGGGUACUCAGUGGCAAGGCGACCGUUGAAAAAUUUAUUUUACUUCAACACGAAACGUAGAAGAAUAAAAGGAAAUGACUGCUAUUUUCGCCAACAGUAAAGUUGAACACGGGAAAUGGAUGCUCGAGGAGGUGGAAGAUUCAAGAGCACGCAGGGACAAUACUCUCCGUUCGGAUAUUCACACGUCGAUGCAUUUAAGUUCUUCAAUCUCGUUGUAGUUUAAAAGAUUUUGCACCUCUGGGGAGAAUAUUCUGCGAUGGAUGUCGUGAAGGAAUUCGAUGUAUUUAAUUCAUUAGUGGGAGAGUACGACGUGAUGAGUAUAACGCAAUAUAAUCAGUGAUUCUUGAAAAAAAUUAAAAUACAAUGCAGUAAGACGUGCAAACAAAACCGAAAUUCCUUUGUAAAAAUGAUUUCUCACUCUUUACUGACAUGCAGACGUCUUCAGCAUUAAAUUUAGAUAAAUAUGAUAAUCGGAAAACUGAAAAUUGAGUGUAACCAAUUUUUUAUUGAAUUUAUUUCUAUUUGAAAUUCUCUCGACAAUGGUAAAAAAUUAGUUCAUGAAUUUUUUAUGAUUUAUUCAUGAAGAGAUGACGCUUAUGAUUAAAUAUACAAGAAGUCAAUACAAAUGCUGAUCACUGUGCCGACUCCUAUGUUACAAUUAAAUCAUGACCUUUUACUUUUCCGGAAUAUAUUUCAGUCAAUUGGGGGAUAAAUGGUUGGGCUCCCCAUUCACUGAAUUCAAUGUCGCUGUUUUGAAAUUAUUUCCAGACUUUCCAUGAAGUUUUAAUUAGGGUCGAAAAGUUUUCUGGCAAAUUCGACGCGUCUAGAUAUGGAAUGAUAUUUAUUUUUAACCUGCCCGAGAGCUGCCUCAGGGGAAUGGGCAUCUAGUUAGCAAUAAAUCCAUGAAAAUUCUGAGUUGAUUCAGACAGUCCAGCGCACGUGCUCAGAUGGGUUCGAUCGACUCCCACACAUUCUAACUCUUCACGGUAAAUCAGUAACCUUUAUUGCCCCAAGUGACAAUCUAUGAACACAUGUCAAUCGUAAAAGUUCGUAAAUAACCAGGGAAAUAAAAAAAUCCUAAUCGAUGAAGCUUAAGUUAUAUAAAUCCAUGCACUGGGUUUGAGGAGGGACAGCCGACGUUGGACGGCCGAUGGUACUGAAUAAUGGAUAAAUUCUGUUGGUUUACGCAUUCAGGGGAUAAGAUACUUGGAUAAGAAUUAUUUUUAGGGGGUUUCUGGAUGGUUGAACAGCUGACACAAUGGUGUCACAGAGUUUCAGCGGUUAUCAUCCCCUAUGAGUGUCUGGGGAUGCUUGGAAACCUGGAGGGAGGACUCUUAAAACGAAAAUAAAUGUUAAAAUUUUGCGGAUUGAGGGGAGACUGUGUUUUUAUCACUGUCUUCUGGGGAAACCGUCAUGUUGUCGCUAAAUUCCUUCUGUUUUUAUUAUUUUGCGGCGGGAAUGGAUUGGGGGAAUUUUCGGGGAAGAUCGGUCGUUAGGGUGAGGAUUCGAGAUGAUUUUUUGGGGGAGUAAGAAAGCUCGCUUUGAUGAUUUUACAUGGAGAGAAAUUUCUGAGAAAAUUUUACAACUGAGCGAUUCGGAUUUUCUCCAGUACUCGCAUGCGAAUUUUUAUAAAAAAAGUAUCUCCGUGUAGACAUUGUAUUCUAUGAUUUUAUGAUUUAGUACUAGCCUGAGAAAUCGUAUUGAAAUAAUUAACAAAUCGAUUUCAGUCACGCAGCAAUUUGACUGGAAUGAAUCCGAACAAUUGGCUGGAAUCAAAUGGAGGCGACGGGAAUCAAGUAGAAAAAUCAACUUAUAUCAGACCGAUGGUGUGCGCCUCUCCCGGGCGGACCCGGUUCACGCCGACGAUUCCAUGUCGAAUAGAUCGAUUGUCACGUAUGAUUGACUUCGUCUUGAUUUUUUCUUUUGAUUUCGGAAAUGAAAAGGGAAUUCCCCUCUCGGUUAAUGGCGCAAAUAAAUAAACGAGGGUUCGUAUAUUAUUCAGGAACAAAAAAUCGUGUGGAUCCAAAUGUACAAUUGCUCGGUUGCACGAAACCAAAAUUUACCACGAGUCUCUCGAGCCUUUUAUUAGAAUGAAAGAGUGGGAAAAUAAAUCAGACGAAGUGGAAAAAAUUGAAGUGGAAUUCUAUCCCACUCCUCGCACAUUUAAUUUAAUGGAAUCCCGCGAUGUCGUGAGCGGUCGUCUGCCUCUGCGAUAUAUUUCUUUCCUCUCCUCGGGUAGCCAUUGUGAGAUUAAUGUUUUCCUUGAAUUUUCUUUCAUCCAGUUGCCGAGAUGAAUCACUUUUGACUAUUGACCAGUUUCUUAUGAAUAUCUUGGAAUCCAAAGGAGAUGGAAAAAUUUUUGUUGUAACUUUUUUGUCGAGUAAGUUGAGUGCUAAACAAAUGUGAUUAGAGAAGCCUCGCUACUUCCCCUAGGUUCGAGACAUAAGUGAACCUAUCUCUAUUUACCACUUCACUACAGAAAUAUUGAUGUGGCUCACUGUUGACUUCCGGCCUAACUCAUACUUCAUUCUCACAGUUUUUUAACCAGUGGGUUGCGCCCUGAUGAGAACCUUGAACGAAAUUCAAAGCCUACUAUUAUUUACCACUAUUAAUAGAUUUAUAUUUGGCUAUUGCUGGCCAUGAGGCCAUGGGACCAGCCAUAUGAUUGGCCAAGUUUCAAUGAUUGAAGGCAGGAAGCCCGGUGGCAUUCACUGUGAAAAACCAAAACGCAAUUCACACUUAAAUAUCUUUUUCCGUCAUGAGAAUUGAAAUUUAUGCUUUGAAGCAGCGAAUAUUGCCCUAAUCAAAACCAAAUGAACAAUUUUCUUCUUUUUUUUCAUUUGCCUCCCUUAGAUUGGCAAGUCUGGCCUGGAAUGCUACCCUUAAGUAGUGAAUUCUCCCCCGAGGAAUGUCAGUAACAAUUUUUUUUACAAUCUGUCCUCUCAAUCUCCUCCCAUGAACUUACGAUCGAAGUAACGAGAAACAUUGCAACAGUCAAUGUAAUCAAGAGAAUAAGAUUUCUGACGUGAAUAAUGUCCGGAAGGAGCACUUAUACAGAAGUAUCGAGGGGCAUCUUUCGCGUACCAAUGAC